rnacentral:rRNA from 1 species
UACGUAGGGUGCAAGCGUUGUCCGGAAUUAUUGGGCGUAAAGAGCUCGUAGGCGGUUUGUCGCGUCUGCUGUGAAAACUCGGGGCUUAACUCCGGGCCUGCAGUGGGUACGGGCAGACUAGAGUGCGGUAGGGGAGACUGGAAUUCCUGGUGUAGCGGUGAAAUGCGCAGAUAUCAGGAGGAACACCGGUGGCGAAGGCGGGUCUCUGGGCCGUAACUGACGCUGAGGAGCGAAAGCGUGGGGAG